CAGAGUUGCAAAACUCCCAACCCUUUGUGAACGAACCUACUAGUUGCCUCGGCGGCGAGCCUUCUGGGCAGACCGCCGGAGGAAUAUAAACUCUUUGCAUUAUAGUAUCUCUGAUUACUUAUUUAAUAAGUUA
rnacentral:misc_RNA from 1 species